rnacentral:rRNA from 1 species
AACGAACGCUGGCGGCAGGCCUAACACAUGCAAGUCGAGCGGACCUUUCGGGGUCAGCGGCGGACGGGUGAGUAACGCGUGGGAAUAUGCCCUUCUCUACGGAAUAGUCCUGGGAAACUGGGGGUAAUACCGUAUACGCCCUUUGGGGGAAAGAUUUAUCGGGGAAGGAUUAGCCCGCGUUGGAUUAGGUAGUUGGUGGGGUAAUGGCCUACCAAGCCGACGAUCCAUAGCUGGUUUGAGAGGAUGAUCAGCCACACUGGGACUGAGACACGGCCCAGACUCCUACGGGAGGCAGCAGUGGGGAAUCUUAGACAAUGGGGGCAACCCUGAUCUAGCCAUGCCGCGUGAGUGAUGAAGGCCUUAGGGUUGUAAAGCUCUUUAAGCUGGGAAGAUAAUGACGGUACCAGCAGAAGAAGCCCCGGCUAACUCCGUG